rnacentral:rRNA from 1 species
UCAUACAAGAAACCCAAAUCAAUAAUCAUCGGCGUAAAGAGUGGCUAUACGUUAUCAUCAUUAACUAAGAUCAAAAUGCAACUAAGCUGUCACAAGCCUAAGAUCCACCAAAGCUCAACCUGACAUCUUAGAUUCAACGAUUAACUUUAACCCACGAAAGCCAGGGCACAAACUGGGAUUAGAUACCCCACUAUGCCUGGCCCUAAAUCCAGAUACCCACUCACACUAAAGUAUCCGCCCGAGAACUACGAGCACAAACGCUUAAAACUCUAAGGACUUGGCGGUGCCCCAAACCCACCUAGAGGAGCCUGUUCUAUAAUCGAUAACCCACGAUCCACCCAACCACCCCUUGCCAACACAGCCUACAUACCGCCGUCGCCAGCCCACCUCCCAUGAGAGAAUAAUAGUGCGCUCAAUAGUCCCCCACUAACAAGACAGGUCAAGGUAUAGCCUAUGGGGUGGUAGAAAUGGGCUACAUUCUCUAUCCUAGAGCAUCAACGAAAAAGGACAUGAAAAUCCGUCCUUAGAAGGAGGAUUUAGCAGUAAAGUAGGAUCAUUUCCAGCCUACUUUAAGCCGGCUCUGGAGCACGUACAUACCGCCCGUCACCCUCUUCACAAGCCACUACUACCCAUAAAUAAUAAGCCCACCCGCUAAGGCCAAAGACGAGGCAAGUCGUAACAA